rnacentral:lncRNA from 1 species
UCCGCCGUGCGUGACUUUCCUCGUCGCGUCCAGCUCCCCUUUUCUUUGACCUUACGUGACCUUGGGAAAAACCUCCAGGCUGCUACCCCAUCUGCACAUGGGAGGGCCGGGGGUAGGAGCCGCGACCCCUAAGGGCUCCACCGCCUUCUGCCCGGCCAGGGUCGUGCCUGGCGCGCCCCCGCUCCAGCUGACCCGCGCAAGGGAGGGAGGGGCGGACGGAUGGGGACAGCUGUUUAGGAGCGCGCACUGCGCCCAUCUCGGCCUCAACACUCAUGUUUCCACUUCGUUUCACGACCACCAGCCACAGUGGACACGAUGAUCCCCAGUUCACCCGCCAGCAAAUCAGGGCUCAGAGAGGUGGCCUCAAAGAGAGGAGCGGCCAGGAGGGAAGCCGGGGGUUUGCCCUGCGGUUCUUCCCACAUCUGGGCGGGAUAGAUUCGAUUGGGCCUCGGCCACCCCCACCGUCUCCGUCGGGGGUUCCAAGGUUUGGGGUCAUGACCUAGGGGGCUUAGGAGCCUGGGUCCAUCUCAACUAAUUUAUGGCCUCACUCGCCCCCAGCGGCUGGGAAUUCUAGGCCCAUUUUACAGAUGUGGACGCAGAUCUGGAGAGGGGCAAUGACUGCUCAACCCCCCACCCAUCCUCCCAGACACGACCUUCCACCUGGAAUCCCCCCACACACGUUCUCAGAGGCCAGGCAGCCGGGGUCUCAUGGUGAAAUCCCCACAUUCCAUGCAGGGGCUCUUUCUGGUUCCUUCCCUAGAAUGCUGUCCCUGCCCUUCCAGUACUAUCUCACCAGGGAGACCCUCCCACUCCCCCACUCCGCUCCAACCAAGCAAGGCCUCUGCCUCGCCCCGGUGGGAGGGGCCUCGUCCAGAGGGCACGCCCCUGCACACACAAUCAGCCCUGUCCUGGCUUCUCUGUGUGCCCCAGCCAGUCAGUCUGGGUGGAAGUCUUACCUGGGCCCUCUCAACAGACCUAGGCAGGCCUCUGUCCCCAGCCCAACGAGCUCAAUCCCUUAAGCACACACGCCACAGAGCAGUCCUGAGAGGCCAGGUGGACAGUACCAUGAGGCAGACAAAGCUGUGAGGCCCAGAGAGGGUCAGGCCACCCCAGCCCAGGUAGGCACUCACAUGUAUCCUGCCCAGGCUGCCAUGCAUGGACCCACCAGGGGGAUGACCAGACCCCACCAGCCCUGCCCCACCUCAGGGCGGGGGACGUUCCAGGCCACGCCAUCUCUCCCAGGGAGUCCAUGGCAACUGCCAAGCUUACAGCAGCCAGGUUGUCAGCAGGAGUAGGGGUAUAGAGGGCACUGGGCCUGGCAUCCGCACCCGCCUUUGCCUCAGCUCCACAUGUCUCCUCCUGUAUCUAGGCCUAUCUCCCUAGGGCUUCUCCCAUCUGCCGGUUCUGGAUGCCUCUGAGUACGAUGGUGGGGAGAGCAAAACACACAUACAAAGAGCAUCAUGAUGCCUGGGAGCCCGGGACCCAGUUGAAGGAGCAACACACGGCAGAUCGGAAGCCCUGCGUGCCUGUCCCCUCCCUCCCCAGCCAGCCUCAGUGUGAGUCCGCGUGCGUCUUUCCCACUAUCCAGCCCCAGGGGAACCCCCUGCUUUGGGUUGCAGCCGCCAUCUCUGCUGCAGUGUCUUCUGAUGAAAGCUGUCCCCUGUGGGCAUGAGUGUGGACAUGCUGCACCUCCUAAGGCAGCAGUGCCAAGGCUGAUGGUGCCCUCCACGGUGGUUUCAUGGCAUCGCUGCUGCACUAGAGGCUGCCCAGGGACGUGUGAACAGCUGUGAAGGGGCAGGUUCCUCAGGGAGGGAGGAUGGGCUGCGGGGAGGGUGGCUGGGGCAGGGGAAUGGGCAGAGCAUGACUUCCAAACACCUAGGAAGCCCCAGGUGGAGGGCGGAGGGGGGUCUUGCCAUCUUGGGAUAGGAGUUGACCUUUGACCCCAUCAUGCUCCUGCUGGGACCUGACCCAGGCACACUCCUCUUCCUCUGGGAGGGCUUGUCCCACCAGGGCAGGGGUCUGUGUGUGCCCAGGCAGGGAGCCACAGGCAGUAGGGGGAGGCUGGGGCUGCAAGCACAGAGGCCCCGGAAAGUGUGUGAGGACGCUGGGGAGUGGGAAGGGCCCUCGGAGGGGUGGUAUGGCCGGCUUAGGUUUUCUCGACAACUCUAGUUGAGUAUGCACUGCAGGGAGACGGAGAGGCCGCAGCCACUGAAGCCAACUGUGCUGGAGCAGGCGGAGGGCACCAGGGGUCCCUGGAGAGAAGUGCCGCCUCCUGCCAGGCCCCUGACCUAUAGUGCGCUGAUGGGCAAAAACGCUGACGAUGCAGGCCAGCUGAUAACCUGGAGGAGGCCGGCUGGAGUGGGGCCUGCCACACGUGAGGGGUACCCUGGGCUGGCGACAUGGGCAGUUCUUCUUG